GAAAAACUGAGAGAUAGAGAGAGAGAGAGAGAGAGGGAGAGCGAGAGUGAGAAGUACAAAGGGAACGGCGGCGGCAUUAAGCCCUACGAGCGCAGAUUUAUACUUCCGAACGACCGGCGCUCCUGACGGCAGUAAAAACUUUGAACCUCGUUUUAUCUCUUUCUCUCUCUCUCUCUCCCUCUCUCUCUCUCCCUAUCUCUCCCUCUCU
rnacentral:miRNA from 1 species